rnacentral:rRNA from 1 species
UACGUAGGGGGCAAGCGUUGUCCGGAAUUAUUGGGCGUAAAGCGCGUGUAGGCGGCUUGGUAAGUCCGUUCUGAAAGCCCGGGGCUCAACCCCGGGAGGCGGAUGGAUACUGUCAAGCUUGAGUCCGGAAGAGGCGAGUGGAAUUCCCGGUGUAGCGGUGAAAUGCGCAGAUAUCGGGAGGAACACCAAUGGCGAAGGCAGCUCGCUGGGACGUGACUGACGCUGAGACGCGAAAGCGUGGGGAGCAAACAGG